AUUGAACGCUGGCGGCAGGCCUAACACAUGCAAGUCGAAUGGUAACAGGAAACAGCUUGCUGUUUCGCUGACGAGUGGCGGACGGGUGAGUAAUGUCUGGGAAACUGCCUGAUGGAGGGGGAUAACUACUGGAAACGGUAGCUAAUACCGCAUAACGUCGCAAGACCAAAGAGGGGGACCUUCGGGCCUCUUGCCCUCAGAUGUGCCCAGAUGGGAUUAGCUAGUAGGUGGGGUAACGGCUCACCUAGGCGACGAUCCCUAGCUGGUCUGAGAGGAUGACCAGCCACCCUGGAACUGAGACACGGUCCAGACUCCUACGGGAGGCAGCAGUGGGGAAUAUUGCACAAUGGGCGCAAGCCUGAUGCAGCCAUGCCGCGUGUAUGAAGAAGGCCUUCGGGUUGUAAAGUACUUUCAGCGGGGAGGAAGGGAGUAAAGUUAAUACCUUUGCUCAUUGACGUUACCCGCAGAAGAAGCACCGGCUAACUCCGUG
rnacentral:rRNA from 1 species